rnacentral:rRNA from 1 species
UACGUAGGUGGCGAGCGUUGUCCGGGUUUAUUGGGCGUAAAGCGAGCGCAGGUGGUUUAUUAAGUCUGGUGUAAAAGGCAGUGGCUCAACCAUUGUAUGCAUUGGAAACUGGUAGACUUGAGUGCAGGAGAGGAGAGUGGAAUUCCAUGUGUAGCGGUGAAAUGCGUAGAUAUAUGGAGGAACACCGGUGGCGAAAGCGGCUCUCUGGCCUGUAACUGACACUGAGGCUCGAAAGCGUGGGGAGCAAACAGG